CGCUGAACUUAAGCAUAUCAAUAAGCGGAGGAAAAGAAACUAACAAGGAUUCCCCUAGUAACUGCGAGUGAAGCGGGAAAAGCUCAAAUUUAAAAUCUGGCAGUUUCGGCUGUCCGAGUUGUAAUCUGGAGAAGCGUUUUCCGCGUUGGACCGUGUAUAAGUUUCCUGGAACGGAGCGUCAUAGAGGGUGAGAAUCCCGUCUUUGACACGGACCCCCAAUGCUUUGUGAUACGCUCUCAAAGAGUCGAGUUGUUUGGGAAUGCAGCUCAAAAUGGGUGGUGAAUUCCAUCUAAAGCUAAAUAUUGGCGAGAGACCGAUAGCGAACAAGUACCGUGAGGGAAAGAUGAAAAGCACUUUGGAAAGAGAGUUAAACAGUACGUGAAAUUGUUGAAAGGGAAACGCUUGAAGUCAGUCGCGUCGGCCGGGACUCAGCCUUGCAUUCGCUUGGUGUACUUUCCGGUUGACGGGCCAGCAUCAAUUUUGACCGCGGGAUAAAGGCUAGAGAAAGGUGGCUCCUCGGAGUGUUAUAGUCUCUGGUCGCAUGCCGCGGUUGGGAUUGAGGAACUCAGCACGCCUUUAUGGUCGGGGUUCGCCCACGUUCGUGCUUAGGAUGCUGGCGUAAUGGCUUUAAACGACCCGUCUUGAAACACGGACCAAGGAGUCUAACAUGCCUGCGAGUGUUCGGGUGGAAAACCCGUGCGCGCAAUGAAAGUGAAAGUUGGGAUCUCUGUCGUGGAGUGCACCGACGCCCGGACCAGACCUUUUGUGACGGAUCUGCGGUAGAGCAUGUAUGUUGGGACCCGAAAGAUGGUGAACUAUGCCUGAAUAGGGUGAAGCCAGAGGAAACUCUGGUGGAGGCUCGUAGCGAUUCUGACGUGCAAAUCGAUCGUCAAAUUUGGGUAUAGGGGCGAAAGACUAAUCGAACCAU
rnacentral:rRNA from 1 species